rnacentral:rRNA from 1 species
GAUGAACGCUGGCGGCGUGCCUAAUACAUGCAAGUCGAGCGAACAGGCGAGGAGCUUGCUCCUCUGACGUUAGCGGCGGACGGGUGAGUAACACGUGGAUAACCUACCUAUAAGACUGGGAUAACUUCGGGAAACUGGAGCUAAUACCGGAUAAUAUAUUGAACCGCAUGGUUCAAUAGUGAAAGACGGUUUUGCUGUCACUUAUAGAUGGAUCCGCGCCGCAUUAGCUAGUUGGUAAGGUAACGGCUUACCAAGGCAACGAUGCGUAGCCGACCUGAGAGGGUGAUCGGCCACACUGGAACUGAGACACGGUCCAGACUCCUACGGGAGGCAGCAGUAGGGAAUCUUCCGCAAUGGGCGAAAGCCUGACGGAGCAACGCCGCGUGAGUGAUGAAGGUCUUCGGAUCGUAAAACUCUGUUAUUAGGGAAGAACAAAUGUGUAAGUAACUAUGCACGUCUUGACGGUACCUAAUCAGAAAGCCACGGCUAACUACGU